CCUACGGGAGGCAGCAGUGGGGAAUAUUCGGCAAUGGGCGCAAGCCUGACCCAGCAACGCCGCGUGAAUGAAGAAGGCCCUCGGGUUGUAAACCUCUUUUAUCAGGGACGAAACAAAGGACGGUACCUGAUGAAUAAGCCACGGCUAACUACGUGCCAGCCGCCGCGGUAAUACGUAGGUGGCAAGCGUUAUCCGGAUUUACUGGGUGUAAAGGGCGGGUAGGCGGGAGAGUAAGUCAGACGUGAAAUUCCAGGGCUUAACCCUGGAACUGCGUUUGAAACUGUUCGUCUUGAGUGCUGGAGAGGCAGGCGGAAUUCCGUGUGUAGCGGUGAAAUGCGUAGAUAUACGGAAGAACACCAGUGGCGAAGGCGGCCUGCUGGACAUUAACUGACGCUGAGGCGCGAAAGCGUGGGGAGCAAACAGGAUUAGAUACCCCUGUAGUC
rnacentral:rRNA from 1 species